rnacentral:rRNA from 1 species
UUAGUGGCGGACGGGUGAGUAACGCGUGGGUAACCUGCCUUAUACAGGGGGAUAACAACCAGAAAUGGUUGCUAAUACCGCAUAAGCGCACAGGACCGCAUGGUCCGGUGUGAAAAACUCCGGUGGUAUAAGAUGGACCCGCGUUGGAUUAGCUAGUUGGCAGGGUAACGGCCUACCAAGGCGACGAUCCAUAGCCGGCCUGAGAGGGUGAACGGCCGCAUUGGGACUGAGACACGGCCCAG